rnacentral:lncRNA from 1 species
UGUCAAAAUAACAAAAAAUCCCUGGAAAUAAUUGUAUUCAGCUUUAUGAGAAAUAGUAAAAAUUAUGGCAUAUUCAUAUAAUGAAAAAGUUAUACAACUAUUUAAAAUUAAGUUUAUAAAGAAAUUUAAUAACGAAAAAUAAAUAUAGUAUGAUUUUUACCUAUAUUUACAUGUAAUAUAUAGAGAAAGAGACAAAGAGAAGAACUGGAAUAAAACACACUGAAACAUAAACAAAUGGUUAUUUUAUUCCAUUGACAUUUUUAUAUUUUCCAAAUUUUCUACAGGGAAUAUGUAUUACUCUUACAAUCAAAUAAAGCAAUAAAAGUCAUCCCAAACCAGCCAGCUUUAGACUUAUCUCCUCAGAGCACCCCAAGUCUGUUUCUGCUUUCCAUAAGCUAUGAAAUGCUCAAGAAUCCUCUGUAGCGAAGAAACUCCCCACUUUCUAACAUUUUUACUUAGAACCCCUAAUUAAGUUAUCAGCAUAAAACCACCCCAAGAAAAUGAUUCAUAGAAGUCCACAUCAGAAAGAAUGGGCCUUCCCCUCUUCCCAAUGUUGGCAUAUAUCAAUUCAAAGCUUAUUACUAUUUAAAUUACUUUAUUAUCAUAAUUCCUGUGAAUGACUUGCUUUGGUAGGAUUUUAUAGAUCUUUUAACCUACCCUUUCAGCCUUACCAUCCCCACUAUAAUGCCGACUUCCAUAACAACAGCAAAUAAUCUCAGUGGCUUAACACAAUCAAUCUUGUUCCUUUCACAGUCUGUUCAGGUAUUUAGUGCAUGGCCUUCUGUUCCAUGGUUACAGUAUCUUGGCUUUUCUUUUAUGGGACCACCAUCUGUAAGUGCUUCCUCAGAGGGCUUUGCUAGAUCCUCUGCAUUCACCUUAGAGGCACAUGCUAAAAGCUAGGUUUUUCAGGUUUUUGGUCAUGGUUCUAGGCUACGGUUCCAUGAAGCUCAGAUUUGUUAGGUGAUCUUGAGGCUUAAAAAUGAAAUAGUGAGUCUUUUCUUCUAUUUGCCCCAAUUGAGCCAUUUCUGAGUAUAAUAUCUUCUGAUUUACUUCAUUUUCCUGAACUACAACCUACUUUUGCUGUUGAUUCAGGUGAUUUUGUAGAGUCAGCUUUAUGGUUAAGCAUUCCCAAGUUCAAAUCCUAAUUUUUACAAUCUCCAACCGCACCUCCUUGGAAAAUGAAAAUAUAUCUUUAAGCCUUGGUUUUCUCAUCUGA